rnacentral:rRNA from 1 species
AUUGAACGCUGGCGGCAUGCCUUACACAUGCAAGUCGAACGGCAGCGGACCUUCGGGUGCCGGCGAGUGGCGAACGGGUGAGUAAUAUAUCGGAACGUACCUUUCAGUGGGGGAUAACGUAGCGAAAGUUACGCUAAUACCGCAUAUUCUGUGAGCAGGAAAGCAGGGGAUCGCAAGACCUUGCGCUGAUUGAGCGGCCGAUAUCAGAUUAGCUAGUUGGUGAGGUAAAGGCUCACCAAGGCGACGAUCUGUAGCGGGUCUGAUAGGAUGAUCCGCCACACUGGAACUGAGACACGGUCCAGACUCCUACGGGAGGCAGCAGUGGGGAAUUUUGGACAAUGGGCGCAAGCCUGAUCCAGCCAUGCCGCGUGAGUGAAGAAGGCCU